rnacentral:miRNA from 1 species
UAGGGGAGUCCGUGAGAGAGCGG